rnacentral:rRNA from 1 species
AGUCGAACGAAGUAGCAAUACUUAGUGGCAGACGGGUGAGUAACAUGUAGGUAUCUGCCCUUUGGCCUGGAAUAACACGAGGAAACUUGUGCUAAUACCGGAUAAGUCUUUACGGAGAAAGCUUUAUGCACCAUUGGAUGAGCCUGCACUUGAUUAGUUUGUUGGUGGGGUAAUGGCCUACCAAGACUGUGAUCAAUAGCUGAUUUGAGAGGAUGAUCAGCCACAUUGGGACUGAGACACGGCCCAAACUCCUACGGGAGGCAGCAGUGGGGAAUCUUGCACAAUGGAGGAAACUCUGAUGCAGCGAUGCCGCGUGAGUGAAGAAGGCCUUUGGGUUGUAAAGCUCUUUCGUCGGGGAAGAAAAUGACUGUACCCGAAUAAGAAGGUCCG